GUCAACCACCCCGCCGUGAACGGCGGAGCUUGAAAGGAGGUUCUUUUCAGCUCGGGUUGACCAGGGAGAGUCGUAACCAACCGGCUACGUUGCAUACAGGUACAAGACCCACUGGCGGAUGCUUCCUCAGUCCGCCGCUCUGGA
rnacentral:sRNA from 21 species